AACGAACGCUGGCGGCGUGCCUAACACAUGCAAGUCGUACGAGAAACACAUCCUUCGGGGUGUGGAGUAAAGUGGCGCACGGGUGAGUAACACGUGGGUAACCUGCCAUUGGGAUCGGGAUAACUGGCCGAAAGGCCCGCUAAUACCGGAUAAGACCACGGGAACCAAGGUUUCUGGGGUAAAAGUCGGCCUCUCAUAGAAGCCGGUGCCUGAUCAUGGGCCCGCGGACCAUUAGCUAGUUGGGAAGGUAACGGCUUACCAAGGCCGAGAUGGUUAGCUGGUGUGAGGGGAUGAUCAGCCACACUGGAACUGAGAUAAGGUCCAGACUCCUACGAGAGGAAGCAGUGAGGAAUAGUGCGCAAUGGAGGAAACUCUGACGCAGCAACGCCGCGUGAGUGAAGAAGGCUUUCGGGUUGUAAAGCUCUGUCAGGUGGGAAGAAACCUUUAUAGUUGAAUAGGCUAUAAAACUGACGGUACCACCAAAGGAAGCACCGGCUAACUCCGUGCCAGCAGCCGCGGUAAUAC
rnacentral:rRNA from 1 species